rnacentral:misc_RNA from 1 species
CUUGCCCAAAGUCGCACGUGCCUGUGGGUGUCCGCUGGUUCUCAAAUGGUGAGGUCAACCGGUACGGUACCUGGAACUAACCGCUCCAGUCAUUCUUACAGCCAAUUGUAAGAAUGAGGACAUCUUGAAGCAACGACGGUGCGGGCCUUUCUGGUGUCUUCCAGCCAUACAAAUGCUGGGAUAACUAUAGAGGCACACCUCAUUGCCUUCAGUGCGGAAGUGGUUUUCUCAACUCCAAUCAAAAAGGCAGAUAAAUAUAGAAUGACGCGGCUUUCGCGCUGUUCUUUCGCUGCAUGCAAUGCUAAUUUCUGG